rnacentral:rRNA from 1 species
GACGAAGGAUGCAAGCGUUAUCCGGAUUCAUUGGGUUUAAAGGGUGCGUAGGCGGACUGAUAAGUCAGUGGUGAAAUCUCUCGGCUUAACCGAGAAACUGCCAUUGAUACUGUCAGUCUAGAGUAUAGAUGACGUUGGCGGAAUAUGACAUGUAGUGGUGAAAUACUUAGAUAUGUCAUAGAACACCGAUUGCGAAGGCAGCUAACGAAACUAUAACUGACGCUGAGGCACGAAAGUGCGGGGAGUCAAACAGG